UGCAUUUGUAGGGUUUGCUUUAAAGAUGGA
rnacentral:piRNA from 1 species